rnacentral:lncRNA from 1 species
GAAAGGCACCCCUUGCCGAUUCUCCUUCCUGCUCAGUGGCCUUGUAAACCCUCUGGGGAUUGGCUUUGGAGGGCCCGUGUUCAUGCUCAACAAUUGCUGUACUGCCGAGCUGUGCCCAGAGCCCAGGAAGCCUUCCGGCUGCUGCCUGCCCUCUCCUGGGAACCUCAGCUCAAGGACGAUGUCUGCAUCCCUGCUCUUUAUUAUCUCUGGUGCCUGAGGAGUGCCUAGCAGCACAGGUAUCCAGAUACCUGCAGGUCUCUGUAGUCUCCACACGGAAUCCAGUUUCCCUGCUGACCCUUUCGUCUCCACUGCUCUGGGCAGGGGCCGGGAGUCAUGAUGUGAAAGC